rnacentral:rRNA from 1 species
GACGAACGCUGGCGGCAUGCCUAACACAUGCAAGUCGAACGGAGAUUAUUUCGGUAAUCUUAGUGGCGAACGGGUGAGUAACGCGUGGGCAACCCGCCCUCUAGAUGGGGACAACAUCCCGAAAGGGGUGCUAAUACCGAAUGUGACAGCAAUCUCGCAUGAGGAUGCUGUGAAAGAUGGCCUCUAUUUAUAAGCUAUCGCUAGAGGAUGGGCCUGCGUCUGAUUAGCUAGUUGGUGGGGUAACGGCCUACCAAGGCGAUGAUCAGUAGCCGGUCUGAGAGGAUGAACGGCCACAUUGGGACUGAGACACGGCCCAGACUCCUACGGGAGGCAGCAGUGGGGAAUCUUCCGCAAUGGGCGAAAGCCUGACGGAGCAAUGCCGCGUGAGUGAUGAAGGAAUUCGUUCCGUAAAGCUCUUUUGUUUAUGACGAAUGUGCAGAUUGUGAACAAUGAUCUGUAAUGACGGUAGUAAACGAAUAAGCCACGGCUAACUACGUG